AGAAGUUUUAAAUAGAACUGUUCUUCAAACCCUUGGAAUAGAGGAAGAGGUCUCAAGCUUCCCAAGACGUUUUAAAUAGAACUGUUAAAAAAUCCUCAGAAUGGAGGAAGAGGUCUCAAGCUUCCCAAGAAUUUUUAAAUAGAACUGUUUUCAAAUCCUCGGAAUGGAGAAAGAGGUCUCAAGCUUCCCAAUAAGCUUUAAAUAGAACUGUUCUUCAAACCCUUGAAAUGGAGGAAGAGGUCUUGAGCUUCCCGAGACGUUUUAAAUAGAACUGUUCCUCAAACCCUUGGAAUGGAGGAAGAGCAGGUUCUUUUUGGCUGAGGGGGCAGCUGCUUAUCCUGAUGACCGACAGAUGCUGAUACCAGAUCCCUGCUUAUUCUAAGGGUGAGUUCCUGCCUGCUGGAGGAAGCAUCAGACAACACCCCAGAAGAUCUUUCUGCUCCAUAUUGUUUCAAUAAAACUUUAUUCAUAA